GAGGCCUCCCCGUUCGCCUCCCAGAGGCCGCCACUUUCUUCAGGGCUAUCAGAUGAAGGCAGCAACGAAAACACCACCACAAGACCAACUUCAGGCUGGAGCUGAUGAUGCCACACAGGUAUAAUAUUAGGCAGAAACCCAAUAUAAAAAGAAAAGCAGAGUUGUUGUAGAUUCAUCGAGGGUUGGCGACCUGGUUCCAAUGAGCCAUCUCCCUGUUCCGACAGGGGCUUCCUGGAGCUCCUGCAACCCCAGGCAUUAGUUCCGGUGCAGUUCUAGGAUCAGAUCAAUUCACUCGACAACAAGAGAAACAAAUGGAGAUUCCUACACAAAGACUUUCAAGCACAAAGAAAUCCUGCUGCCUGUAAAGCGGAGCUGCCUCAGCCCUUGAUGAACGACAGAAAAUACCACCUACUGCCAGACCUCAACGCCUCACAAAACUCUCACCCACCUACUGCUUUUAGCUCACAUUCCAGGAAUUCAGAUGAAGUGAAGUGCUCUCAUGGGGACCAGGCAUGGUUAUGCCAGUCCACUGCCCUGCAAGCCUCAAGGGAAGCCAACUGCCCUUCAGCAAGUCACACCUGCCUUGGUGGAGGCCUUGAUUGGAAGUGCCACACGCUACAUGUCCAGUCCUGAGCGGGAGAAUCGGUGUAGGGACGUUCUGGGGAUGCCAGCUGUGGCCAGAUCAGGUCCAACUACAGAAGAAUAAUGAAGACUCCACCUGAGGGCUGGAAAAACAAAACCUCAAGUGUGAGGCAGCCAACCUGUUACCUCGAGGGACUGUUCCGCAGCACAGCGGGGCCAUGGGAACAGCAGCAGACACCCCG
rnacentral:lncRNA from 10 species